UACGUAGGGUGCAAGCGUUAAUCGGAAUUACUGGGCGUAAAGCGUGCGCAGGCGGUGAUGUAAGACAGUUGUGAAAUCCCCGGGCUCAACCUGGGAACUGCAUCUGUGACUGCAUUGCUGGAGUGCGGCAGAGGGGAUGGAAUUCCGGCGUGUAGCAGUGAAAUGCGUAGAUAUGCGGAGGAACACCGAUGGCGAAGGCAAUCCCCUGGGCCUGCACUGACGCUCAUGCACGAAAGCGUGGGGAGCAACAGG
rnacentral:rRNA from 1 species